rnacentral:rRNA from 1 species
AUGGAGGACGGCGAGUCGUACAAGUCGUGGGCAUGGUGGCUGGACGCGCUGCAGGCGAUGAGGAGGACAUACUCGAUCCCCAUGGACGCCGAGGAGGCGAGGAUACGCGCGGACAUAGAUUUCGACAACGCAAGGAGGAAGGUGUGCAGAGCGGAGGCCGAGGAGGCGCGCAGGAAGGAUCAGCUGCUGGAGGAGGAGGAGGCGGUGCGGUGUUGGGCGAAGACGGGAGACCCCGAGGCGGAGGCGUACCGGGAGGGGCUGGACGACUUGCUGCAAGAGAUGACCGAGCGGAUGUCCUCGGAGGAGAGGGACGAAUGGUCGACGACGCCCGACCGGGAGUCCUUCUCGUCUGCUUGCUAUCGCCAUCAAUGGAGCUCGGCGCAUCGGAGAGGCGCAGGUAGCUCGUACGAGGACACCACGGGUAUCCCUGCCAUGCAAUUUACGGACGCCGAGCCAGAAGAUCGUUGGGACGCCCGUCCGACGGGGACUUUGCAGAUAUUUUCCUUCAAAGUCGCCGCAAUAGACGAGGAGCUGCGGUGGCCAUUGGAGGUGUAUGGCCUGAUCGCCAUAAGAGACCACCUAGACCGUAGCCGCAAUGUUAUCUUUGCCCGCGGAAGGGAUAACUGCCAAACGAUCUCAUCCAUGGAUCCAUAUUUAACACUAGCAGGUCCAACUCGUGCUCCAGUGGUGUCUGAGAUGUCAAAUUCUGUGCGAUUCGAGGUUGUGUUGAAAGUCAAGAGCAGCACUAAUGAAUCUGAAGAUAAAGAUUUAAGUUUCUUAGCUGCAAAGUUCAGAACAUUCUAUCCCAAUUAUUCACGUGUGAUUAAGUGGGUUGCCACUAGCAAGCUAUCAAGACUAGAGUGGGCAUUCGCUGUUCUUGCUAAAUCAGUGGAGGCUACAAUCAGUAUACAAGUUAUUCAUGGGUCUUGGCUAGAUGGUUGUCGAGGUAUAUUUAGUGCAAGCACGGUUAGUCUAGAUGGCCGGAAAGUCCACCUUCUCUCCCUUGAAGAUGGCAAGUUGCCAGUUACCACCGAUGGUAUGAUCAAUCUUUCACGCAAUGUUGCUUGCGUAGAAAUUAAUGGAAGGCUGAAAAUUUCUGUUGCAAUAGAAUACACAAACGGGGAACAAGUUACUGCAGAAGAUGAAACUAUUUUUAGGCCUAGGAAAUUCGGUACGAGUUGUGCUAUCCUUAUGUCGCGGCGAGCAGGGCACCGAACGGGCGACGAGCCGUCUGGGCUUUUUUAUGGAGGUGCCCUGCUCCUCCUAAGAUGUCCUCAUGCGGUCGCCUUGUGGCAGGCUAUGGAGCGGCAAUGGAAUAUUCCGGACAUCCGUCGAGUCAUGCACACUGGGCCAGAGUGGCUUUUUCAUGUGCUCGCGGACUUGUCACCAGAGGAGCGGAUGUAUACGUUCAUGACGAUUUGGCGUUGCUGGCAUGUGAGGAAUGAGAUCGCCCACGACAAACGACCACCGCUGGUCAAAGCCUCGACCAGAUUCCUAACCAGCUAUAUCAACUCAUUGCUAUCCAUCCAGGCGUACCCUCAUGGAGAUCACAUCAAAGGAAAAAUGGUGGCUGCACCUUUGUACAGCAGGAAAUUGUUAUCACAUGUAGAGCGUGAGAAGCCAUCAACACUUGGAUGGGAGGCACCGCCGGCCGGCUGGGCUGUGCUCAACAUCGACGGGUCCUUUUCUGCCAAGGACGGAACUGCAGGAGUUGGCAUGGUCCUCCGGGAUGAACAUGGAGAUAUUAUUUUUUUCGUCUUGCCAGGCGGCGAUCGAUCGGGCCAGGAGAUGGGUUCAACAGACGGCGACCCGUACAAGUCUUGGUCAUGGUGGCUGGACGCGCUGCAGGCGAUGAGGACAUACUCGAUCCCCAUGGACGCCAAGGAGGCGAGGAUACGCGCGGACGCAGAGGAGGCGACGAAGGAGACGGCCGCGGCGCACCGGGCGGCGGCGGAGGAGGCCCGCAGGAAGCAUCAACUGAAGGAGGAGCUGGAGGCGGUGCGGAAGUGGGUGGCGACGGGGGACCCUGAGGCGGCGGCGUACCGCAUGAAGCGACUGAACGAGGAUCACUUGGAGAUGUUCAUGAGGAGAUCGGCGGAGGACGGCGAUCCCUACGCGGAGGAGGAUCACUCUGACCCGGCGGCUCGCCAAGCCAGCACGUACCGCCCUUCUAUCCCGGCCAUGCGUUUCACUGACGUGCCAGCUGAGCGUUCUGACGGCCCGGACGAAACCCUACAGAUCUUUUCCGUCAAAGUCGCAGAAAUAGCAGAGGAACUGCGGUGGCCGCUGGAUGUCUAUGGCUUGAUCGCCAUACGAGACAAGCUGGAUCGCAACCGCAAUGUCAUCUUUGCUUUCUCCAGGGAUAACGCUCAAACCAUCACUAAGGAGGAUCCAUAUUUAUCCUUGAUAGGUCCAACCCGUGCUGUUGUCUUGUCCAGUGCGUCAGAUACUUUGCGAUUUGAGGUUGUGCUGAAAGUGAAGGGUACUAAUGAAUCUGAAGAUAAAGAUUUCAGCUUCUUAACUAGGAAGUACAGAAGACCGGGAACAAAUCAUUCGUGUGUGAUUAAUCUUGUUGGCACUAGCAGGCUUAGCAAACUUGAGUGGACAUUUGGCUACCUGGUUAAAUCUGUGGAGGCAACAAUUAAUAUACAAGUUAUUCAUGGGUCAUGGCCAAAUGGUUGUCAAGGUAUAUUUACUGCAAGUACUGUUGGUCUUGAUGACAUGAAAGUCUUGCUGCUCUCUCUUCAAAAUGAGAAGUUGCCUUUUAACGUUGAUGGCAUGAUCAAUCUUUCACGCCAUGUUGUUUCUGUUGAAAUCGAGGGAGGGCUGAAAAUUAUGGUUGCGACAGAAAAUGCAGAAGGGAAACAAGUCAGUGCAAAAGAUGAAACUGUUUUCACACCUAGAGAGGCCGGUAGAAGCUGUGCUAUUCUUAAAGUUUGCUCAUGCGUGAUGAAAGUCGUCGUUGCGUGAGAUCAGCAGGGAGCAGAAAGGAAAGGAAAAGCGCCACGAUCGAUUCACCGAUCGAUGGCGGACGGCGAGUCGUACAAGUCGUGGGCAUGGUGGCUGGACGCGCUGCAGGCGAUGAGGAGGGAAUACUCCAUCCCCAUGGACGCCAAAGAGGCGAGGGUACGUUCAGACGUAGACUUCGACAACGCGAGGAGGAAGGUGUGCAGAGCGAUGGCAGAGGAGGCGCGCAGGAAGGAUCAGCUGCUGGAGGAGGAGGAGGCGGUGCGUUGUUGGGCCAAGACGGGAGACCCCGAGGCGAAGGCGUACCGGGAGAGGCUGGACGGGGAGAAGCUGGAGAUGUACCAGAGGAUGUCCUCGGAGAGGGGCGGUUGGUCGACGACGCCCGACCGAGAGGCCUACUUCGCUGCUUGCUAUCGCCAUAAAUGGAGCUGGGCGCAUCGGAGAGGCGCAGGUAGCUCCUACGAGGACACCACGGGCAUCCCUGCCAUGCGCUUCACCGACGCUGAGCCAGCUUGGAACGCCCGUCCGACAGGGACUUUGCAGAUCUUUUCCUUCAAAGUCUCCGCAAUAGCAGAGGAGCUGCGGUGGCCACUGGAGGUGUAUGGCUUGAUCGCGAUAAGAGACCACCUAGACCGCAACCGCAAUAUUAUCUUUGCCCGCGCAAGGGAUAACUGCCAAACGAUCACAUCCAUGGAUCCAUACUUGACACUAGCAGGUCCAACUCGUGCUCCAGUGUUGUCUCAUGUGUCGGAUACUGGGCGAUUCGAGCUUGUGUUGAAAGUCAAGAGCGGCACUAAUGAAUCUGAAGAUAAAGAUUUAAGUCUCUUAGCUGCAAAGUUCAGAACAUUCAAUCCGAAUUAUUCACGUGUGAUUAAGGAGGUUGCAACUAGCAAGCUAUCAAGAAUAGAGUGGGCAUUCGCCCUUCUCGCUAAAUCAGUGGAGGCUACAAUCAAUAUACAAGUUAUUCGUGGUUCUUGGCCAGAUGGUUGUCGAGGUAUAUUCAGUGCAAGCACAGUUAGUCUAGAUGGCAGGAAAGUCCCCCUUCUCUCUCUUGAAGAUGGCAACUUGCCACUUACCACUGAUGGUAUGAUCAAUCUUUCACGCAAUGUUGCUUGCGUAGAAAUCAAUGGAAGGCUGAAAAUUUCUGCGGCAACAGAAUACACAAACGGGGAACAAGUUAAUGCAGAAGAUGAAACUAUUUUCAGGCCUAGGAAAUUUGGUAGGAGUUGUGCUAUCCUUAUGGUUCACUCAUGUGAGAUGAAAGUCAUUGUUGCAUGGUCAGUUGUUACUACAAGUUAG